rnacentral:misc_RNA from 1 species
GAUGAAGAACGUAGCGAAAUGUGAUACGUAGUGUGAAUUGCAGAAUUCAGUGAAUCAUCGAAUCUUUGAACGCACAUUGCACCUCUCGGUAUUCCGGGAGGUAUGCCUGUUCGAGCGUCAUUUGUACCCUCAAGCUCUGCUUGGUGUUGGGUGUUUGUUCCGCCUCUGUGUGUGAACUCGCCUCAAAACAAUUGGCAGCCGGCGUACUUGUUUCGGAGCGCAGCACAUUUUGCGAUCCAGAUCAACGUACAGCGGCAUCCAAGAAGCCUUAUUUAACGCUCUUGACCUCGGAUCAGGUAGGAAUACCCGCUGAACUUAAGCAUAUCAAUAGCGGAGGA